rnacentral:rRNA from 1 species
CCUACGGGAGGCAGCAGUGGGGAAUCUUGCGCAAUGGGCGAAAGCCUGACGCAGCCAUGCCGCGUGAAUGAUGAAGGUCUUAGGAUUGUAAAAUUCUUUCACCGGGGACGAUAAUGACGGUACCCGGAGAAGAAGCCCCGGCUAACUUCGUGCCAGCAGCCGCGGUAAUACGAAGGGGGCUAGCGUUGCUCGGAAUUACUGGGCGUAAAGGGCGCGUAGGCGGACAGUUUAGUCAGAGGUGAAAGCCCAGGGCUCAACCUUGGAACUGCCUUUGAUACUGGCUGUCUUGAGUACGGGAGAGGUGUGUGGAACUCCGAGUGUAGAGGUGGAAUUCGUAGAUAUUCGGAAGAACACCAGUGGCGAAGGCGACACACUGGCCCGUUACUGACGCUGAGGCGCGAAAGCGUGGGGAGCAAACAGGAUUAGAUACCCUGGUAGUCCACGCCGUAAACGAUGAGUGCUAGUUGUCGGCAUGCAUGCAUGUCGGUGACGCAGCUAACGCAUUAAGCACUCCGCCUGGGGAGUACGGUCGCAAGAUUAAAACUCAAAGGAAUUGACGG